rnacentral:lncRNA from 1 species
CAGAAGUUGAUCCUGCCACGUCCACUGGAGAGGCAAAAAGGAGUCCAAAAGUCCUUGAGGCUACAUCUUACCGCCCCACCCCCAGCUCAGACAACAAGCCUGUGACCCAGAAGCGAGCAUCUCAUCUCUCCUUGAUUAGACUUUCCAGAGACUGCACUCCCAGCUCUUGUGUCCACCCAAGAAGAAACCAAGGCCAGGACAUUGGCUCCCCAGUCUAUAAAUAGAGGUUUGGACCCAGGACGCUGGGAGUUUUGUCCAGAAACCUCUAAGGUCUUAGGCUCCGAAUAAUCUUUAAAUUUCGUUUCUUUUUCUCUCCGGUUUUCUUUCCUUUUUUGUUUAUUUUUUGUUGUUAGGUUCACAGAGACAAUGAAGGCAGUUAUGGCGGUGUCAGCCUCUUAGUCUUUCCAUGUAGAGAAAAUGUGCGACUUCCCAAACGUUUAUUUCUCAAGUGGCAACCAACCGUUUCUUUCCAAUAAGCUUUGAAUAUCACCACGAGGCUCAC